CUGCCCUGGGUUCGGUGGUCC
rnacentral:miRNA from 1 species